rnacentral:rRNA from 1 species
CCCAGAGAGAAUAUCUGGUUGAUAGGCCGGGAGUGUAAGGGCAGUAAUGUCUUAAGCGAACCGGUACUAAUAGGUCGAGGGCUUGACCUA